AGCAAAUGCACAUAUAUUACACCUUUAUUAUUUCAGAGAGAACCUCACGUUUCACUUGAAGCCAGGCGCCACAGCCGACACGUCUGUAUUUACGAUGGACAAUGAUAAUACUGAGCAAACUCUGGACUUCUUGUACACAGAUUACAAAGACUGCUUGGUAGUGAAGAUUCCAUACAAAGGAGAAGAACAGUGCAUGUUAUGGGUCGCGGAUGCUCGGAAGGACGACAUUCCGCAAAGCUGUGUGGACUAUUACGAAGACAACUGCGACGCCGAAAAAACAUCUUAUCUCAAGGAUGUGUGCAGCUCCUCUUGAAGCGUGCCAUUGCGAACUGGAUCACUUACUAGUCUAACUACAG